rnacentral:SRP_RNA from 1 species
CGGCAGGUCUUACACGGCCAGCUCCUGCUAAAUCCCCCAGGAUCGGAAGGUAGCAAGGGUAAGCGGUUGUAGCGGUGCGAUGUAAGUAGCCUGCCUUUU